AGGAAAAAGUGCCUGAAGGAAUCUCACAUCAUCUCAUCAGUUUUCAGAUUUCCAUGUGGACAGAGAUGUUCAACAAUCUGACAGUGAUUUUCGAAUGUCCCCAUCAUUACUGUCCCCAUACCGGUGCUCCCUACAUUACUCAGUCAUACCCUAUUGUUGUGUCAUCUAAAUUAAGGAAAGCAGCAACACAUCUUUACAAGAAGGCCUUCACUCCCAACCUGAAAGUACCUGAUUGAUUGCCUGUCCCUAUCUCUGGGCUGCUUUGUUGCCUCUGUCACAGCAAAUCCCAAUCACCAUCCAUCUCAUCCUGUGAGGAAGGCGGACGUUGCCAGCCAGAACAUUGUUUUGGUGUGCUCCUAAAGAAAGUUGCUGAUGAGGUUCCAGGUUGAGUUGAAAGACAGAGGGGGAGCUCGGCUGUGUGCCUGCGUCGAGGAUAGAGGCAUUUGUCGCUGCCACGGAAGAGGCGAGACAUCAAGGACAGCGAUGUUUGUUAGCGGGGGAGCCGGGCUCUGCUGGAGAUGCAGGUGGCAUGGGAGGAUGCUGGGUGACAGCAGGCCCAGGUAGCAAAGCCCAGGCUUGCUGAUUCAACAAGGAGGAAAGCUUCCCGCAGAGAAACCUCGCAAACUGUAGCAGUGGAGAGAAUGAGACAAUGUGACUUAUACUGUAUAAUUUCAACAUUCUAGUUUGCUUCAUUUAUUAUCACUACAUUUAUUAUGUAUGUAUGUAUGUGUAUGAGUACAGAUUUGGUCACAUGACCAUGAUUAUGUGUAC